UGGUUUUGUAAUCUUCUCUCAGCAGCACAAAUCUUCGAGAUUACCUUUUUUGUCUUGUUAAUGAUAACUUAGAACGUGACAGCACAAACAUCCACGUGAGUGCAGGUUUUGCUAAAAGAUUUAAGUACAGAAAACAGCCACUUAGAAUGGAUUGAAUCAAAUGUGCGCAUGUCAGAUCAAUACAUUAAUGCGUUUCUGGCCUGUAACUCUGACUGCACUGAGGCUUCGAGCUAGCAUUAGCUGUUGGAAGAAAUUGCUAUGGUUAACCCACCAUCUUCUGAUAUCUGCAUUAGUCCAAUUGAAGAGCUCUGUUACAGUCCCAGAGGAAAAAUUAAUACAUAGGCUGUAUGCAAUCAGGAGGGUGCAGGUGAAGUGCUUGACGGAGUGCAAAGAAGCAGGUAGAGGGAGGGGAGAGAGGAGCUCGAGUGGUUUGCUUUCGAGUUUAAUGCUAGUGCUGAUUUCCAGAAGUUGCAUAUUGUAGCUUUAGCAUUUUGGUUGCCUAAAAAAGUCUUGUUCAGUGUUUGGUUGUACUUAAGAACCUCCAUGGAGUCGGCUGUUCAGUUUUUCUGACUGUGCGAUGGCGGACUGCAAGGCAGAUGGUUCUGGGACCAGCCAGCAACAGACCACAAACAAAUAGACCGAUGAAGACGCUGAAUGCCUCAUUACAUGGAGGGCUACGAACAAAGAAAAGUUUACCAGCAAGCACAAUGCUGCCAUGAAAGGCUUGGAUGCUAUACGCGCCGGUAUGAAGUUUGAGAUCCUCGGGCAGAGCUCUUUUAUCUGUACCAGAAGCCUGGCUGAAAACUAGAGGGGACAGAACGUUUACAGUCAGGACCGCGAGGCUCUGGAACGAUCAGAGUUUGUGGCUGAUGCACCAGCGGUUCAGGCAGCAGCUAUCUGGCCUUGCUGUACCACUGUCCUAUACAACCGCUAUCCACACGCAGAUAAAGACUAUUAGACUAUAAGUGGGAGAAAAGAGAGCAACACUGAACACUAUGCAGCAGUUGCACAUUCUGACUGAAGGUCAUCGCCAGUAUGCGACUGGGUCCCACGCUUUCUACAAACAUCAUUUGGCAUCAGUGUGGAGCUCUCAGUUGAGUCCUUGAUCCAGGUGCAGAGGCCCAUUCCAGAGCAAGGCACGCCAAGUCCACGGCAGCAUACACCAACAGGAAGAAAAUGGUCACAAUACUGGC